AAAUAAGAAGCAAAUUUUGCAUUUAAUUUCGACUUAAAAAUUAGAGUUUACUUUACUCCUUAUUUA
rnacentral:tRNA from 1 species